rnacentral:rRNA from 1 species
UGGCGGCAGCUAAUACAUGCAAGUCGAGCGGACCGACGGGAGCUUGCUCCCUUAGGUUAGCGGCGGACGGGUGAGUAACACGUGGGUAACCUGCCUGUAAGACUGGGAUAACUCCGGGAAACCGGGGCUAAUACCGGAUGCUUGAUUGAACCGCAUGGUUCAAUUAUAAAAGGUGGCUUUUAGCUACCACUUACAGAUGGACCCGCGGCGCAUUAGCUAGUUGGUGAGGUAACGGCUCACCAAGGCAACGAUGCGUAGCCGACCUGAGAGGGUGAUCGGCCACACUGGGACUGAGACACGGCCCAGACUCCUACGGGAGGCAGCAGUAGGGAAUCUUCCGCAAUGGACGAAAGUCUGACGGAGCAACGCCGCGUGAGUGAUGAAGGUUUUCGGAUCGUAAAACUCUGUUGUUAGGGAAGAACAAGUACCGUUCGAAUAGGGCGGUACCUUGACGGUACCUAACCAGAAAGCCACGGCUAACUACGUGCCAGCAGCCGCGGUAAUACGUAGGUGGCAAGCGUUGUCCGGAAUUAUUGGGGCGUAAAGCGCGCGCAGGCGGUUUCUUAAGUCUGAUGUGAAAGCCCCCGGCUCACCCGGGGAGGGUCAUUGGAAACUGGGGAACUUGAGUGCAGAGAGGAGAGU